GACCCUGUGAAAACUCACCCUAGUCCUAGAUUAAUCGAUUUAGGUACUAUUAGUCUAACAUAUGAACUCAAUUGAAAUUGUAAAAAAUAAAUGUUUAAUAUGUUGCGUCAGAUUUCUCAUCUGUUGUAAAUUAUCAAUCAGAUUAGGUAACAAUAGAUUACGAAUCUAAUGUAAAUUAUCAAACAAAUUAAGUCAUCCGUUGCUACAGAUUAC
rnacentral:lncRNA from 1 species